rnacentral:rRNA from 1 species
UACAGAGGUCUCAAGCGUUGUUCGGAUUCAUUGGGCGUAAAGGGUGCGUAGGCGGCGCGGUAAGUCGGGUGUGAAAUCUCGGAGCUUAACUCCGAAACUGCAUUCGAUACUGCCGUGCUUGAGGACUGGAGAGGAGACUGGAAUUUACGGUGUAGCGGUGAAAUGCGUAGAUAUCGUAAGGAAGACCAGUGGCGAAGGCGGCUUUCUGGACGGUAACUGACGCUGAGACGCGAAAGCGUGGGGAGCAAACAGG